AACAAGGCGUACCUGCGGACCUGCGGAAGGAUCAUUACGAGAGUUGCAAAACUCCCAACCCUUUGUUUACCUACCUGUGGAAUCGUGCUUCGGCAGGCAGCCCCGUGGGACGGAGCCUCGCCUUCUUGCGAAGGUGCCUGCCGCUGGCCAAACACAAAAUUCUGUUAUAUAAGUUACUAUCUGAGUCUUAUACAAAUAAUCAAAACUUUCAACAAUGGAUCUCAGAUCGGAAGAGCACAC
rnacentral:misc_RNA from 1 species